CCUUGUUUGGUAAGAAUUCUUAGUCUAGAAACUUGUCAUUUGUGGUUAUUUAGGUGAAACAGCUAGACGUUUUAGAGGAAAUAAAUUGCCUAAAUUGGCGAACGUAUGUGUUACUCCUCUGUCAACCAGAAGCCCUACAUUGUUUUGGAUAUUUGCGACUUGUAAUAAUAAACUAGUUGCCAACUAUUGGUUGGAAUUCUUUUUAGGACCCACGACAUACGAAACCAACACAUUCUUCCACCACACGAUAAAUACCAAUUAUUUAUGGUUAUAUAUUGUUGAUUGUGAUAUUGGACGACUAACUGCAAGAAAGGUUGGGUUUUGAUGUACGUAUUGCGUACCGACCUUCCUACUUCCUAGAGCUAGUUGACGUUCAACUUAGAUUUGCAAGCGUGUUGGCUGAUUUAUGUAAUUUAUUAUGUAUUUUAUGUUCCUGAAUGAUUGAUUUUAUUACACAAAUGAGAAUUAGAAUUAUAUAUUCUGGUUGUUGGCUUCUUUGUGUUUAUGAAAACAAAUUGAUAGCACAAUUAUUUUCAAUCCAUAAUUCUUUUAUGUUUACAAAUACAUAUGAAGAUUAAAAAAGUGUGCCCUCCUCCGCAAGGUUUGUUCAGGAAGGGUGAGUUAGGGCUUAAAAUCAAGCCAAAGGGUGUAGUUGAUGGACAACAUGUGAAUAUUUAUGUACCCAUUGUUUGUUACGAGGGAUGGAGGAGGUUAGGUUAGCCGAAAUAUAAUUAUCGAUAUAAGGACGUUGGGUGCUCUUAAUUUUUUAGGUAAAAAUGGAUGAAAAAAAAAAGUUUCAAGCCAAUAUUCGAGGCACCACGACGCUGAAGUAAUCCAUGUUCAUCUUCCUCUCAUACACUCAUGAUACUUUUAGAAAUUAUAAUAUACUUGCAGACCAUGUCGACCCUCCCUAUUUAAUUUUGUAAACUAAUAUAUGAUGUAUAUAAAAAAUCAGGAAUCAAACUAGAGGAGCUAACUGAUCCGACACAUAUUCGUCUUUUCUCUUUCCGUUAUUUACCUUUUUUUUAAUUUCAAAUAAAUAAACUUAUCACAUGUUAAAAAAUUAGAAAACAAACAGUCACGAUUGAAAAUGCAAUACUAUGAUUAAUAAUUAUUAAUAAAUUUGGAAACAAAAAAAUGUUCAAUAUGUUUGUUAUAUAGAUAGAGUAGGAUUCUCUUCCCACAAAUCUCCUCCCCAUUUCUCUCAUUCUCUCUCACUUUCCUUUUUUUUUUUUUUUCUCUUCCGAUAUAAAAAAUUAACACAAGAAAUAACUUAAUUGAGACCGUUUAAAUAAAAUAAGAAAAAUAAAAUAAAAUUUAGAAGAAAAAAAAAAAUCCUACCCUCACAGAAAAUAAAACCGGUCAAACUCGCUGAAUAAGGAUUUAAGAAUCGGAACAAAAUAUGCACGACUUUGAUAUUUAUACAAAAAUUAUAAACACCUUAUUCAAACCUACCUAAUUUACAAAUCAGUUCAAAUAAGAACCCAAUAUAUACCAAGUCUUGACAUUAUUCUCAUCUACUUGUCUCUCCUCCUCCUCCUCGAAUUAUUUCUUCACCGUUUUCCUACCAACGUUAUCAUCCAAUACAAUCACAGAUAUAGAAAAGCUUAACUGGGUUUCAGACAGACAGACAGAGAUGAGUGGUGACGAUCACAGCAUGAUCGUGGAGAGGGCACUAAACAGCCUAGGCAAAGGAUUUGAUUUGACGUCAGAUUUCCGACUGAAAUACUGCAAAGGAGGCAAACAAAGAUUGGUUGUGCUCAACGACACCGAUAAAAGAGAACUCACAGUUCCUGGUUUCAGAACCAUUCAGAACGUCUCCGUCGACAUUAAAUGUGACAAAGGCGACCGUACUCGUUACCAAUCCGAUAUCCUCACCUUCAAUCAGGUAUAUAUGCAUACACAACCUUUAUUUUUCUACAAAUAAUAAAGGAUCAAAUUAAUUAUAAACGAAGAAGAAGGUUAAGGUUCUACCGUAAAUUUAAUCAAUUACUUAUAUUAGUGAGUAUAAUUCAUGCAGAUGUCGGAGUUUUUCAACCAAAGGUCGAGUGUGCCGGGGAAAAUCCCAUCAGGGCUGUUCAACGCUAUGUUUGGAUUCGACAGCGGUUCGUGGGCAAAGGAUGCAGCAAACAUCAAGCACUUGGCUCUUGAUGGCUACUACAUCAUAUUCUUCAAUGUUCAUAUUGAUAGAUACCCUCUUGUUCUCGCCGACGAAGUCCGUGAGUCCGUUCCAUCCACCUGGGAUCCUCCUGCCCUUGCAAGGUGUGUAUAUAUGCAUACCAUUGUUUUUAUUUUUAAUAUACAAUGAAAUUAUAAUUUAAGUUAAGAUAAAUCUAAUAAAUUGAUAUCGAACUAAUCAUUUACGAAAAUCAAACAUAAGGCCUCCUAGUUACAUGUGAAGAGAAAGAAUACAAGACUAUAGUACUGGUAGUCAUGCAUCAGUAAUUCAAUUAAGAUUGAUGAUAUGAAAUUUAGGGUUUUUACUUGUAAGUUAUUUUUCACGAGGAAACGAAUUUUGAAGGUUUUGGGUGCCUCCUAACUCUCCCACCAUGCCAGACUUAAUUACAUCCCUGAUUUUAACUUAAACAUAUGUUAUACAAAAUUGUACGGAGCAACUGCAGCUUUAUCUUAUUGUAUAUGAUAAUAAAAUAGAAAAAAUAAAGGUAAAAAGAUGGUUGGUUUCAAAUAAGGUUCAGAUAUUCUUGAAUUAUUCAAAUAUACUUGGUUUUUUUACUCACAAAUCUUAUGAAUUUAUUUAGAUGAAGAUUUUUUUUUUCCCAAAAGCUAGGCCUUAAUUUUCGUACCAAAAAAGAAAAAUACAGGACCACUUUCUUUCUACUUUCGUUUUUUGUUAGAAGCUAGCCAUAACAUUGUCAACUAUGUUAUUAAUUAACGCGCUUUUAUAAAGAAAUCCCAUGUUUUCCCCACUAAUUAUGCAAACUACGAUGCCUAUGAUUUGUGCCUUGUGAUCUUGAUGUUGUUUGGCAAUCAAUAAAAUAUAUGUUGUGUAUAUAUACACACACAUAAAAAAAAAAGCAAAUUGACGGCGAGAAAUAUAUAUGCCAUUAUUGGAUAUUGAAAUACUGUCUGACCUACUGACUAGAUUUUCCUUGGUUUUGGCCAUUCAUCCACAUGCAUGCAUGCUUGAUUUCUGUUUUCUUUGGAUAAAAUAUUUAAUAGAAUUUGACUUAGUAAAGUUGGUUAGAAUAUAUAAUUUUCGUUCAAGAAUUUUAUAGGGCUCGUUUAGAAGUACUUUUAAAAUUAUUGAAAACGUUUUUGGUGAAACUAAUUUUGAUUUCCAAAAGCACUUUAAGUGAUUUUUGGAAUAAGUAAUAGAUAUGUGUUUCUUACAGGAAACACUUUAAGUACUUUUCUAAGAUCAACUUGUAUUUUUACUAAGGAUUGGUUUCAAAUACAUUUUUAUCAAAACAUUUUUCUGUCAUUUUAAAAACAUUUCCAAACAAUCUCAUAUUUUGUAGAAGGAAAUAUAUAGUCAACAUUUCCAGCCACAUUGAGAUUUGAAAAACCUAGUUUAUACUAAAAGUGUAUGUGUACAUGUACUGUCUCCCAUGGGGCUUGAAAAUUAGUAGAAGUCACAUAAUUGGGCGGUUCUCUAUUAUAGCUGUUUUUACAUUGUGGACCGUUCCUAUUUGGACUGACCAAUUCUUUGGUUUUGGAAUAUUUGGCUGUCUGGUAAACAUGUACUGGCUACUGGGACGUUACUUACCGGACAAAGAAUUUCACAAUCUUAGGAUCGUUAUAGUCCAGCCGUUGUUCACCGAAGCUUUUACUUUUGUCGAUCAUCUCUUUAUAGAUCAUUUCACUACACAAAAUCUAGUUUACCAAUUCCGCUCAAGGGGAGCUGCAACUUAGCGUUCUGCUCAAUUUAAUUUGUCUAAAACUUUUAUCUUUGAAUACCAGACAACCAUUUUGCUCUUAUUUGACAUUAACUGUGUGCACAUUUGACAGAUUCAUUGAGAAAUAUGGCACUCACAUCGUCGUGGGAUUGAGUGUUGGGGGCGAGGAUGUUGUCUUAGUAAAGCAAGAUAAAUCUUCAAACAUGCAGCCAUCGGACCUCAAAAAUCACUUGAAUGAGCUUGGAGAUCAGCAAUUUACAGGGGCAUGCAGUUUCUCCCCAUCACACUCCAAAUCCAAAGACCAAAAACACAAGGUAUAUAAAUGUAUAGAAAAGUUUUUUUAACGUGCAGUGUCAACGACAUGUGAUGCACCUAACGCCCAUAUUAUAUGAAUAAAUAUAACAUGAUAAUUGAGUAAACAUUUGUCACAUCACCAACAAAUUAAAUAUAUAUAUAUAUACAGGGAGCUUAAGGGGAGGGAUCCCCAUUUUUUCAAAAAAAAUGGGGACACGCUCCCCACCGUUAGAUUGACUUUAAUGAAAUUGUGUAGUUGAGAUUAAAACACAGGCCAUAGAAUCUCAACCACAUGAUUUCAUUUAAUUCAAAUCCAACGGUGGGGAGCGUGUCCCCAUUUUUUUGAAAAAAUAGGGAUCCUUCCCCUUAAGCAAUUCCUAUAUAUAUAUAUUACUCGCUUACUAUAUACAGUUUUAAUCCUCAUAAUAUUUGAGCCAUAAUAAUAUUUGCACAUGGUUUAAUUGCAGGCACCACAGACAAUCAGUGUCUUUCAUGAUCCUCAGUUGGCCAUUAAUGGCUUCUCAACCACAAAAUCAAAAGAUGUAUGUAGGUUCUACUAUAUAUUGCACUACUAAUAUGGAUAUAUACUACUCAUUUUAAUGAAAGGAGCAUGCAUUAGGGAAAAUUAAUCAGUCAAUUAAAAGAUUAGCAGUACUUGUCAUGACGACGUGGCAGAUGAAUUUUGCAGGGUAUUAGUGUGAUAUUCUAUAAAAAAGGAGGCGAUCUGCUGGCCAGCAGCCACUACGAGUGGCUUCUCACAGCUCCAUCAAUGCCGGACGCAAUUCAGUUUAGUUUCAUUCCGAUCACUUCUCUGCUCAAAGAUGUGCCAGGCAAGGGUUUCCUGUCGCAUGCCAUCAACCUCUAUCUUCGAUGUAAGUUCAAUUUAUUUGUAAUGCCUUUUGCGUUCUUACUAGUUUUCAUCACAUGAGUUAACCCAGUUAGUUAACGCACUAUGCCCGCUACACCGCACCAUAUUCAAUUCCCCUUUUCUGUUAAUUAGAGUAAUUCAUAACAUUGCUUAAUUUAUCCUUUUAAUUUUGUAUGUGUUACUUGCAGACAAGCCUCCAAUAGAUGAUCUGCAGUACUUUCUGGACUUUCAAACCCACAAACUUUGGGCUCCUGUUCUCAAUGGGUUGGCUCUAGGCCCAGCCUCCAAUAGGAAGACUCGGUCCCCUGCAAUCCACGUCAACCGGAUGGGUCCUAAACUAUAUGUAAACUCUGCGCAAGUUAGGGUUGCAUUUAGGCCUGUCACGGGGAUGCGCUUGUAUCUUGAGGGCAGGAAAGCCAACAGGUACUAGUACUUCUGCAUGAAAUUCAAUUAAUUAUCACGUAAUCAACUUUCGUUAUUUACUGUUUGUACUUAAUUUUAAAUAAAAAAAUUCAAAAUGACUUUUAGUCGCAGAAUAUACGAUGAACAUAUAAAAUAUGAGAAUCCCUGAGAUCCUUACGGAUAGAAUCCGGAUGGGAUCCAAAUCCUAAAAAAUGGGAUAGAAAGGGAUGAUAAGUGUCAAAAUCCAAUAAAGUGAUAAACUGGAAUUGUUGAUCACGAUGAGAAACCCUAAUAGUACAACGUUAUCAAGCUAUGUACAUAAUGAUGAAAAAUGCCUUACUGUUACCUGAUCUCAGGCUAGCCGUCCACCUCCAACAUCUAUCAAACACACCAUUCAUGUUGCAAAACAAGAUAGAUGACACACCAACAUGGCGAGGAUCGGAUGAAAUUGCCGACGACCGCUACUUUGAAGCCAUAAACCGGAAAAAGAUUUCCCAUGUGUGCACUGUACCGGUAAAAUACGACCCCAAAUGGAUGUCGUCCAAGAAAGAUGCGUCCUUCAUAGUGUCCGGGGUCCAGCUUGUUGUAAAGAAGCAUGACACAAAGAAUGUCCUCCAUCUUCGGCUCUUGUUCUCCAAAGUCUCAGAUCAUUUCGUUGUCCAAUCAAAUUGGACUGAACCACCGUCGGAACAUUCCCAAAAGUCGUCAUCGUCCGGUCUCUUCAGUGCCAUAAGUACAUCGAUUUCGGGGAGUAAUUGGUCGAGAGAUAGAGUACUGCCCGAUGAUGAUCGAGUGAUUGUGGAUUCGAGUGUGUUCCCGACAGGGCCUCCGGUGCCGCUGCAGUUACAAAAGUUUGUGAAGUACGUGGACAUGUCACAUCUGUGUAGGGGCCCACAAGACGGUCCAGGGUAUUGGUUGGUCACUGGAGCUAGGCUCAACUUAGUGAAGGGGAAGAUAAGUUUGCAAGUCAAGUUCUCUUUGUUAAACUUAUGUUCACCAUCACCAUCAGUCACCCUCCGAGAUUUGAUGUACAACGUUGUGGAUUUGGAAGCAUAAUUUUUUAAUUCUUUGGUAAACUAUAGCACAAAAGCUAUCUAGCUUAUACUCUCUUGAGUUUGUCGCUCUAAAAAUGUAUAGAGUGUAGAGUAAUACUUUAAGAGAGUUUUAUUUUACAAGGUUGUAGAUAAUUCAAAUUUAUCGGACUCUUAUUUCUUAAUACAUUUUCAGAAUAAUUUGAGUGCACUUGUAAGUAACUAUCCCCUAAACCUUAAAAUUCUAAUUCAACCGAUUGCGUGAUUUUUUCACUAUAUUGGCCGCAUUCUUGAAUUCGAGUUCAAAUUAAUCUCUUUUUAAACUAUCGUGUGUAUAAAAACAAAAGCCGAAAAACUAGAAAGAUAGCCAACUCUUAAAGGGUUUAUAUGCCCCUACUACGGUUGCUAAGAUUUACUUAGUAAAUUAGAUAGUGCAUAUAUAUACAUAUAUUAAUCAUGAUCCCCCACACUACGACACCCAACCUACCUGCCUACGACCGUGUCCAUAUAAUAGGCAGUAUCUAUUCUGCCAUACAAUUACAAAGCUAGAGCUACGGCGAAUCUUUUGUCUCCAACCUUAAUUAUAUUACUCCGUUAAUUGGUGCUUUAUUUUAGAUCACAAUAUCGAAUACGAUUAAUAAUUUAAUUAGGUGCUACAUCCAUGGUGAUUGGUGAGGACCACCAUAUGCUUUAGCAGAUGAAAAUAUUUUUUUUUAAGCAGAGCACCCGUAAAAUAUGAGUUCCAUAACAAGUAGUCAAGAACACAAACACAAUAUUACCUCAGGUAACCGUUAAUAAUCUUGAAAUCUAAACCCUAAAUUAACGUUGUUGGCAUGCUGGCUACAGUUAUUUAACCUGCUUCCUUAAAGUCAACAAAUCCAGGGACACACCAUUUCGUAAGCAAAUGAUCUAAUAUUCAAACCUGCUCAAACACACAUGCAUUACAUAUAAUGGCGAAUAAAAUUCCACAUCGAAGCUAAGUGGUUAAGUUAAAUAUAAUAUCGGUAAUGUUAGGAAAUAUUAUCAACAUUAAUUUAGGAAAUAUCUAAAGAAGUAGCCAUCUAUUUAGUGUUGUUGAGAUGAAGAGUUACUGUCAAUAGCCUGUAAAAAAAUGGAGAAUGGCGCAAGGGCAAACUGAGAUUAGUGCUUCAAGCUUUAGAAAGUUGUCAUGUGUCAUGUCGUUUUAUGUUAAGCUUCUGUAAUAUAUAAAUAUAGCAUGGUCCAUAACCCUAGCUAGCUAGCUAGCUAGCUAGCUCUUAAUCUCACUCUCACCAAAUUGUCAAUAUAUUUAAGGAUGAUGAUCGUCUAUCUGGCCACAUUUAUAUUUAUGCUAAUCGUACACUUAAUUUGUUUAAAAUACUUACUAAUUACUGAAACCCAACAAACCCUAAAAGUGGUCCUCGAUCAGCCGAACAUUUCAAAUAUACAUGUAUAUGUUCUAUGUAUGGCUAGCGCCUUCCCUCUAACCUGCAGUAUUAUCAUCGAUCCUUUUUAAAUAAAUAAUAAUAAACAUGAAUUUUUUUUUUUCAAGAACAAUCUUGAAAUUUGAAGUGAUAAUACAAUUAACUUGGCUAUAAUUAUGUUUAUGUUAACGUAUAUGCUGGGUUACAUAUAUAUGUCAUAUACGCGGUUCAUUACAUGGCCAAAAUGCACGCUUUGAAUAUGAAAAGGACGGCAAAAAAUAGAAAAAGAAAAAGGUUUGGAGAAAAUCAGGAUUCAUUAAUUUAAAAGCAAGCAAAUUCUUGACAAAGGUUUUGCACAGAAUUACAAAUGCUCGUUAUAUAGAUUCAUAUGGUUGACCCUGAGAAAGAUUUACUUUGCCCUAUAUAGAUUACAUGUAAUUGUUUAAACUAGGAAAUGAUAUAUGCUGACAAAAAAAAAAUGUUUUAAAUAUUAUUCAAGUGUAUUUGUCUUUCUAAAUAUAAAAAGUUUGGACUUUAGAAUGCAAAUAAAAAUUUUAGAGUACCAAUAACAAUUUUAUCUAUAUAUAUUUGACUUAUUUUCCCAGUUUAUUUAAAAGUGUGAAAUAACAGAUUGAGGUCUUUGUAAUUAAUAUAAGGUAGUGGUGGUACCAACACGUUGCAUGAGCAUUUGUUCCCCUUGGUCCUUGAGUUGUUCUAUAUAAUCCCACGCCUACUAAUCUCAUUCUUCACAAAUCAAAUCUACUUGCCUCUAUAAGCUUCUAAUUAUAUGGCAGAAGGGGAUCGAACGAUGUUGUCGGGUUCAGCUGAUCCCAUGAAUCUCAACGGAGAUCAUGAAAAUAGAGCGAAACCGGUCACAGGUCCGCUGCCUAUGAACGGUGGAAAUGGCACUUACAGCUACUCCAAGAACUCCUCCUACCAGGUAUAAAUCCCAUGAUUUAAUAUGUAUUUAGUUUUUUUUGUUUGUUUGUAAAUAUAUAUCAUGCAUAUCAUGUAUGCAUGAAACCCUAGCUAUGUAAUGCAUGACCUCGACUUUACCAACUAAUAUUAUGAUCAUGUGCAUGCUAUACAUAUACACAUAUAUAUACACGAAGUUUCAUUCUCCUAGACUCAUGGUUCAAAGAAAUUAUGAUCAACCACCGUUCGAUCUCAAAUGGUAGGUGAUCAUUUAAUUUUUGUUGUUGCACUUUAAAGUCGAAUAGUGAAUGACCAUAAUUUUCUUAAAACAUGCGGUCAAGGAGAAUGGGAGUUUAUACAGACAUGCAUGAUAUAUAGUUUCUAUAUCAAGCUUCAGUUUUGGUUUUCAUUCGUUGCCGAGACCGUAUGGCGCCCAUGUAUAUAUUUGCUACCUACAAGCCUAGCUAGCUAAUUCCUUGCCCUACGAUCUUGCCUUUUGUUUUUUUCUUAAAUUCUUAGAAUACCAGGGAAUAAAGGGCAAAAGAACAAUUCUGUAUUUGGGAGUUUUACUUCUUCUUUUUUUUCUUUCUUUUUUUCAUAAAUUUUGACAAUAUAAUCAGCUCCAUCCAUUUGCAUAUCGGGUUCUCCAUUAACAUCCGAAUAUGUGUUUUAAAAUUAACAAUUAGACAUUGGUUGCUUUCCUAUAAAGAUUGGAUUCACCUCCACUAUAAUAUGGAUGGUACUGAAAUUUUUGUAACAUUGCAAUUGUGAUACAUCGUCAUUUAAAAUCAUCAUCAUUGCCAUAUUGGGUAUAAGUAAGGUAAUCUUAGUUUUAGGUUGCCCCCACUAAAAGAAAUUUCCAACUCCAUCCCUGACUAUUAACAUAUUGGUUUAUUAGAAUGUUGGACGGACAAAACGAAUUCAUAUCCUUUGGUUUUGUAUUUUUUAGAAUUAGUACUAUUUCAGAUACGAGCUUAGGCAUGUUGGUUUAUAGAGCAAUUUGCUUCUCUUCUGCACUCAAGUUUAAAUCAUUCUCCUCAUAAUUUAGAUGAAUUUAGUGUAAAAUUUCACUUGUAUUAGGUUAAUGGUACCGUUAAUUUUGUAGAAAGAAUCUGCUGAUCUUGAGAAGGGAAAAAUCAUUGAGGAAAUUGAGGAGAAGCUUGAUAUGAAAAAACUCUCAUCUUUUUCAAACACCAUUUGUCUAGCAGACUUGGGAUGUUCCACUGGACCAAACACUUUCAUGAUAAUUCAAGAAAUACUAGAAGCUAUGCAACGCAAACACCGAUCCCAAUUAUCCCAAUCAUGUCCCAAAGCUGAUCAACAGUACUCUGAUGAUCAUCAAAUGCCUGAAUUUCAAGUCUUCUUUAACGACCUAGAGGCGAAUGACUUCAAUACCCUCUUCACCUCUCUCCCACAAGACAGGAAAUACUUUGCAGCCGGCGUGCCCGGUUCUUUCCAUCGCCGUUUGUUUCCCGAGUCGUCUAUCCACUUUGUACAUACCUCAUCUAGUCUUCAUUGGAUCUCCAAGUCGCCUGAAGUAUUGCAAAACAAGGACUCUCCGGCGUGGAACAAGGGCAGGAUUCAUUACACAAGUGCCCCGGAUGAAGUGGUUGAUGCUUACGCGGCGCAGUUUGCCGAGGACAUGAAGAACUUUUUGAAUGUUAGGGCCACAGAGCUUGUGCCUGGAGGAAUGAUGGUAAUGAUCUUGUCUGGAAUCCCCAAAGGGAUGCCUUAUUCUGAAAUCCCAGCGGGUAUGUUGUACAAUUGUAUAUCGUCUAGCCUCAUGGAUAUGGCAAAAGAGGUAAUAUCGAUAACUCAUUAUUUAUAAGCUCCUAUAAUUUACAUUGAAAUAUUAAAAUAACUUUGGUGUGUGUGUUAAAGGAUAUCACAUAAUGGACAAAAACAAUGAAAGUCGAAUUUCACAAGCUGAGGCUCUAAAAAGUGAAGAGACGCCAACAAGUGUUUUUACUUGAAAAUAUAUGUUGAUAGAACUUUUUACAAUUCUUUAGGAAAGAAAAAAUUCACUAACUGAAAUGUCUUUAUUGCUCUCUAAUAAAAAAUGUUUUUAUUUUUGAUAUUUGAAGCAGAACCAUAGAUUUUCCUUCUCUAAUUUUUUCCUCAAGGAGGUGUUUUAGAAAAUAAAAUAAUUGUUGACCCACGUACAUAAUAAUUAAAAAGAAUAACAUAAUUAUAUACAGUUAAAACAGAGAUGACUAGAAAAGAACAAUUGUAUAAAUUCAUGUUGGAAAAUGUUGUAUUUCCUUUUCUUCCACAGGGAAUAAUUGAAGAAAGUGAAGUGGAUUCCUUCAACUUGCCAUAUUAUGCAGCCUCGUUAGAGGAGAUGGAGGAGAUAGUAGAGAAAAACGGGUGUUUUAAGAUAGAGAGAAUGGAGUCGUCAAACCCAGCAGCAUGGCUGCAAAAUCGUCCAGUUGACAUACCAACUUUGGUGAAACAUGUAAGGGCUGCAGUGGAGGGGAUGUUUGCCAGACACUUUGGAAGUGAGGUCAUGGAUGAAAUGUUCGGAAGAGUGACCGAUAAACUUCUAGACAUUUCCGACCUCGUAAACUCACGGCGCGACGAGAAAAGUCAGUUGCUUGCUGUUCUCAAACGCAAAUGAUUCUGACUAAAACUGAAAUAUUAUUGCUUCAUCAUCUUAUUCAAGAAAAUAAAAGGGAACAAAAGGAGAGAGAUUGGAAUUCAUCAUCAAACGUAAAUGCUAGUGUGUACUUGAUAAAGCCUUAUCCCAAUUAUCGUCAAAAUACUUAUAUUUAUUUUUCUUUUGUCGUCUACAGAAACAAUCAUUACAACAACAAACCCUUAUUCCACUAAAUUUUGUACAACAACAUGAUAAUUCAAGAAUUUCAAACUAACCGUCAUUAUAGAAUUUUCUAUUUUUUAAUCAUCAUUAAAAUCAAAUCAACCCUUAGAGCACUUCCACCGGGGUGCAAAUGUGCCAGCACCCAGUCAAAAAACCAAGCUGGGGGUCAGUCCAUUCACUCCAGCCCACAAACUUGCCUGGCACCCAGCCCAAGCCAGGUAACAGACCAGCCCAUUUUUGACAGACCCAGAGACCAGCCUAUUUGGCUAACGCGUGCAGUUCACUCGCGAGUGGGCGCGAGUAGGGGACAUGGGUGCAGGCGGCGAGGCCCGCUGUCAGCCCACUUGUUCUUCACCCGGAAGUAGGCGACAUGGCCCUCUCAAUGCUAUUAGAUUUCCAACGGCUAGUUUUUCUCGACCGUUGGAUUUCCAACAUUAAAAAAAAUUUAAAUUUUACUUUUAAAAUAGACCGUCCAAUCACAUAUUAACGGUCCACCUUUUUUUCCCCAAAAAUAAAAAUAAAAAGGCCCAACGGUCAGAAUUAUGACUGUUGGCCACGUGCCAGCUCCUUGGCUCUUGGAUUUGAAUAUUUUUCAAAUUCAACGGUCCAGAUUAAUUAACUACAUUAAAAAUUAUUAAAAAUUAUGAAAAAAUACAGAAUUUUUUUUUAAAAAUACAUAAAAUUUUAAAUUUUUUUUUCUAUAAAUUAUUGCAAACAGGAAGUGACACGUGGCGCGUCGAGAUUGGUUGAAAAUCUUAUCGAAAAUCUAUCCAUAAAAUAGUAUGUUCGGAUAAUGACACGUGGCGUAAUAAGAUUGGUUGAAAAUCUUAUCAUAAUCUUGGCUAAAUUAUUGUAAACAAAUAGUGACACGUGGCGCAUCGGGAUUGGUUGCAAAUCUAAGCGGAAAUAUAUUCACAUAAUAGUACGUUCGGAUAAUGACACGUGGCGUUACGAGAUUGGUUAAAAAUCUUAUCCGAAAUUAAAACUAUUUUAUUUAUUUAUUCUUUUUAUAAAAUAUUUUAAAUGGGUUGGAUGCCAGCGCAUUUUGUAGGAGUGGAGAUCGUUUGUGCCAGCGCAUUUUUUUAGAGGUGGAGAUGCUUUGGUCUAUUAUUGUUCGCUUGAGUGGAUAAAUGCGCUGGGUCCUGGCGUAAAGUCUUUAGGAGUGGAAUUGCUCUUAGGAAAAAAAAAUUAAAAUUGAGCAUAACCACAUGAUCUUCAAGAGUAAUAGCCUGCAUUCUGACAUCGUGAUCCAAUUCUAUAGUUGGUGCUGGGGUAUAAUCCUUAUGUUGGAUUUGUCUCUGAGGAAUCAAUUCUUGGUCCCAAUAGACAAAGUAGAUAUCUCCAUCAAGAUCACUUCCUGAACAUUCAUUUGGAUGAGUUUAAUGAUGGAACCCAAAUGCAGAACCAUUUUUACAUGUGGUCUAAUAUUGAGAGUUUAAUAUGUUUAGUUUCCUUCAAUAUCUGUACCUAAAUAAAGCAGCAAGGGUAGUGAAAAAAUUGCAUGUCUUGUGCAAUAUACUAUUGUGUAAAAAUUUCCCAUAAUUUGAUUAAUAUACAUUUAGACAUAAUGCAAUUUUUCAUCUCAUCCUUUAAAGACUCAUUUAUAGAAAUUCGAUGAGAAAAAAGGUUGAAAUAACAUUUUAUACUUAUUUUCAAUGUUGUAUGAGAAUGUAUUACUAUUUUAAGUAGACGGCACAUAAAAAUUUAUGAUUUUGCCGUUGAAAUGCUUUGAGAAUGGAUAUUUUAUAAAUUACUUCAUAAUGCAUCCAUUUACAAAGCAUUUCAUAAAUUGCAAGAGACUUUCCAUAAAAUAUCAAUUUACAAAGCAAUUCAUAUAUUGCAAGAAACUUGAAACUCAAAUCAUUACAAGCAUUUAUCCUUACAUAUGAUAUCUUAUGCUAUCACAUACUUGCAUCUCAGUAAACGUUCUAUCCAGGAAAGUACAUCGAGCUUUCAAACCAACUUUCGAGUGUCAGAAACAAGAAACCGAAGAUCAAUCCAUUAUUAUAUUAUACAACAAGCAAAAUACACUCAAAUUUUACCAUCAGCAUAAGCAAUUUACGAGCUUACCCCAUCACCAAGAAACAAACAUCAAAAACUUCCAACUUUCUCAACUCAAAUGCAACCCAUCCCAGAAUUGGCUUUCUAGAGAUGACAUGCGUAUACUUGCUUUAUCCUUUUUGAUGAGGACGAGCUUGUCAUAAACGCACCAUGGAAAGCUGAUGAAAUGGUCACGAUUCAGCCCCUCGUUGUAUGUACCAAAAUAAUCAGGAUGAUAUGUGACAUGGUACCAAGCUGAAGCUUUGGCAUAUACAUCAUCAGCUCCGGAAUCUAAACCAGUUCCCUUCUCAUUGAACCACGCCCUAGCUUCCUUCCUCAACGAUCUCACAGCCACGUUUAUAGACUCUGCAUCCCGCCUCUUAGUGAAAGAUUUUGACAUUCUCAUAACACUCCCACUAAGUAUUUCAGCCUCUGUCUUGAUCCCAUAAUACUCCAUCAGAUUUCCCAACUUGUAAUCAUAAUUGCCCUUGUAAUAGAUAGCAUCUUCAAUGUAAUCCUCAUAGCCAUCAACUACCAUGUCAGAGUCGUAUGACUGCUUCGCCACUUGACGAGUGAAGGAUGUGAUAGAGCUUUCAUGAGGCGCAAUGUCCUUCACCUCACGAAAAAGAGCUCCAAUUACAUUGGAUGACUGAUAGGUGGGUUUGUCAAGUUUUUCCAUGAAAUCUGGAUAUUCCUUGGCAUAUAAAUGUGGAGGUAUUACAGCCGGCACACCAGUUUUUGGAAAGUCAACGGCAAUUGAAAAUAGCUUUGCAAGCUCUAUACAUUCUGCGCUCAUUGCUUUUAAGGGAUCUUUGUCUGCAAACACAGUGUGGGCAUUGGCAAUUAUGCCCAAGCUAUCAUUGACCAUGUAGUUCACAAAAUAUUCUUCAACUUCCUGCACCAAAAGAAAAUGAAGAUCAAGUAUACUGGGUUUUGUUUCUUACAAAAACUGCCCUGUAUGGCAUGAGACAAACGAAAAGGAAAGUGAAUCGAAGCGUUAGAAUCACUGAAGUGUAAAUACAUCAAAAUAAAUUAAAAUUAAGUUUCCCUUUCAAGCAAACAUCAAAGUCAAACAAAACAAAGAACAUCAAAGCUAUCAUCAAGACAUUUUUUCCUUUUGUGGGUCAAGAGAAACGAUCAAAUUCAAUACUCGAAAAACACCACUAGAAGAAGUAUUAUGUUCAGUACUAUACUACGAUCUACCAGCAACAGAAAAGAAUGAGACCAGGAGCGAGAGUCAAAAUUUGGAUUGGUAUCUUAAUUACAAUGUGAAAAAAAGAACUCCAAAUUACUUAUUGAAGAAAUUCCAAGUUUUGUACAGCAACAUGAUAUGAUGAUAACUCAAGAAUUUCGUAUUUAGUACUUGAAUUUUGAAAUUCAAGUAAAUUCUCAACAUGAAAAGUUAGCAAAGGCAGGUAGCCGCCUGGGCGAUGCUGCUUAGUAGGUUGCUUAUUGAAGAGUAUUACCUCAAUUGUGACAUCAUGAUCCAAUUCUAUAGUUGGUGCUGGGGUGUAAUCCAUGGGUUCGAUUUGCUUCCGAGGAAUUAGUUCUUCGUCCCAACAGACAUAGUAGAUAUCUCCAUCAAGAUCACUUCCCGAACAUUCAUUUGGAUGAGGUCUAACAAUAUAAACAAUAUUUCAAUCAUUAAGUAAUGUUUAUGAGAAAGUUUUUGUACUCAAUUAUGCAGAAAAACCAAGGAAAAGUAGAACUUUGUAUGCAACUUAAGAAUUUCUAAGAAAUAGCAACUACAGAGGAAACUAAGUCCAAAUUUGAAACAGAUGUUUGUAAAAAUAAAAUGCAAAGCCGUACUGGUUUAUCACCCGCAGAAAAGAUAUCGACAGAAAUUGCAUUCGAUGGACUCAAGUACAUAACGGUUAUAUGCAUGUUAACUGGAAGAUGUGAUGAUAUUGAUUUUUUCAAUCGAAAUCAGUGUUCUUGAUUUUUACAUUAUAUAAUCUACUGCAAACACAUAAAGACACAGAAUGGAUAUUUUGAACUAAAUUCACGAACUCAUGAUGCAUUACACAUUCUUACCUUGGUCCUUUUUGGGGAAAAACAACACAAUCAACCAUAUGGUACAACUCUGGCACAUCCACAGCCUUUAAAACACGUACAUCGCCAGGGUGCAAACAAGGGUUCUUAGCAACAGCUACCUUCCCCACAAUAAUGAAUCGCUGGUUUGAUGCACUUACAGUAUGCCUGUUACCAGAGAAUUGCACAAACACCUCACCAUAUUCCAAUGUUCUGGUUUCAUCUAGACAUCCCAUCAUUGCUCGUCCAUCUGGAAUAAAGAUUCUUGUUUUCGUCCGCAACUCUAGCAACUUUGAUGCCCGAAAUGUUUGCAGCAUCAUUGAAAUGAAGGGUUCAACAUCAGGUUUAUAACCACAUAUAAGCAAUUCCUUCAAGCAGUUGGUAGUCUCCCCUGCAGACAUCAAAUCCAGAGCCUCUUGUGCUUUUAGUGGGUCAGUCAAUAUAGCAUUCAAUUGUUGUACAGCUGCUGCCUUUUGUUUUUUCAUGAAAGCAGGAUCUGGAACCCCAAGGGUGGAUAAAAGACUUAUCAACUGGCGGUUCAGAAAACAAGGUUGAAUCUUGCUACAUGCUAAAACGUCUAACUUUGUGUUUUCUGAUUCAUACUUGGACAUGCUCCUCCUCAAUGAUAAUUUCAUUGAUGAAGUUGGAUCAACGGCCACCACACACCUUUGUACCCACCAUAUCGAAUCUGAAAGGCAGAUGGAGUCCCAUUAAAGCCACAUUUUGAGGCCACUUUCUUAGCAAAAUCAGCAGAUAUUUUCCCAAUCCCAUCGGAGAAGACAUAUUUAUUGUUUUCUACAUCGGGAAUAACUUCCAUUUCAUGUUUUCCAACAUUUAAAGUUUCAGUGGACGAACCAAAGGAUUGACCUAAUCUGGCAGCAUAUUUUGCUACAUUUUUUAUACGACGAAAAUCCCCCAUCCACUCUCUUAUAUUGGCUGCAGUAAGUCCCCGUCUUGAAGCAAACAUCCACAUAGAAUUCUCUCGCAAUUGACUUGAUGAGAAUGCGAGAAACUCGAAUUUCUUUUCACCAAUUACUAUGCCGUUUCUGAGAAUAAAAAGAAUCCGCUUGUAGAUGUCGGUUUUCCCAUCCUCAUAGGCAGCAGAAGUACGUGGAAGCAAAUCUGAAGAAUAAACUCGAUCCAUCUCCUCGUCAACAAAGGAAACACGAAUGAAGUUAUCAAUAUCAUCUGGAUAAUUGCGUAGUACACGAUUUGAGACAUUGACCUCAGGACCAGAAGAAAAUACACGACAUGGUGUAAUUUGGACCCUGCGUACAUAUACCAACCCAGAAUCUAAGGAUAUGACAGAUGACUGUGGACGUCUCUUUGACGUGAGGUACUUCCUGUACUGCUCAUUAAGCCACUCUGAAGGUUUAUAGCAGGUCUCUUUCAAAUUAUAUAAUUUCUCUAGGGCAUACUCUAUACAUGCACGAUCAAAUCUGUGCGGAUCAACCAUCUUAUAAAAUAUAACAUCAAGUGUUGGCCCUGAAAGAUACCCAAGCUGAAGCAGAGAAUGAACUUUAAACAAGAUAUCAUAUGGCACAUACACAUUGACACCUCGAGGAGGACAAACCAUGGGACCCAGACUCGGGUUGCAAGAAUAAGGGGGACCAACCUCCAAGACAAGGUUACCUUCAAUCUCUUCAUACCCAGGAAAGUUUUCUCGAAAAUCUGGAAGUUGGAGACUAUGAGGAAGCUCCAAGCUUAAUGCAAAAGACUGCCCAAUAGCACGUGAUGGAGUGAAAUCAGUAGUCCUGACCCAUUGAUCAUCAGAGUCCAUGAAAUAGGUCAUACCAAGAUCUUCAUAUGCUUGUCCUGAAGAGCGUAUGACUUUCUUAGAAAUCCGAGGUGCUCCGUACAUCUGAUAAUUGGAGACAAAUCAUCAAACUUUUCAAGAUUACUAAUUCAUAAAAGAGAACAUUUAAUUUUUCGCCAACUGCAGUAGCAUGCUUUGACGAUGUUAAUAAAAAUAUUCCAUUCAUACUAUAUUCUCAGAAUUUUAUCCACUUCCCUCAACACCUCAAAUUGUAGAAACUACAAACUUUUAAAUUCCAUCAAACGAAGAAAAUUGAUUUUUGCUCAAAUCCAGACAAGGAUUACCAUGUUAACCCUUAAAGUGAACAACCCUCAAUUCUCUAGACUGGUGAUUUGACGCUCACCAAUUUGCUAGAAAUGGGAAAGCAGAAAAAGGUCACAUAUAUUUAGAAGCAAAUGCACCAUGUAGAUGAUAUAAAAUUAUUCAAUCGUAAACAGAACAAGGAUUAGGAGAAGACAAUCAUUUGAAUUUAACUGCUGAUUAAAAAUAGGUGAGGAACCUGAAUCAGAAGAUGCUUAGCAGCACAACCGCGUGGACGAUGCAACUCAAUCUGCCAGAUGUUUUCAUAGGAAAGUUCGAUCAUAUACUCCAGAGCGUCAUAUUUCAGACGACAAACUAGUUUCCGCAAUCCAAUCCCAAAAUCCACUGAAACAUUGUUCAUAUUCCAGAAACUAAAUAGCUUAUUUGUUGCGAUCUUGCAGCCAAAAUCCAGCUUUAUGUUUUCAAAGGUAUGCAAAGAGCCUCUUGGCUUUGGUACAAUAUCCUGAUCCAGCUUCCAAGAAUUCAGAUAGGAAGCGCCAUAGUACAAGUUUCUAGCACUGGCCAUGUAGUGAAUAAGAUCAGCAUUUUUGGUGGUGUCAAACUGAACAGUAGCAUAAUAUCUUCUCCCAUCUUUGGCUUUUCUUAAUCUCACAGCAUAGACAGAUCCUUUUCCUGUUUCUUUCUCCAGCAACCGCACAACUGCUUCUGCAGUCACACCGGAAGUGAAUCCAUGCAACCUUAUCGUCCUACUCAUCUCUUAUCAUGUGAAUAUGUUCACUGUAUUUACGCUGACAAAGAAUCCAUAUGAGUAAAAUGUACUUGUAUGGUUUUAUUGAAAUUAUGAAAUUAAGGGCUCGUUUGGGAGAGCUUUUUAAAUGACUAAAAGCGCAUUUGGGGAAAAUGUUUUUGGGUUCCAAAAGCACUUAAACUGCUUCCUACGAGUAGUGGUGCUUCUUGUAGGAAGCACUUCAAGUGCUCUUCCACCAGUUAUGUGCUUGUUUUAGGAAGCAGUACUUCAAGUGUUUUUCCAAAAUUCACCCGCAUUUUUACUAAAGGUUGGUUCCAAAAAUAUUUUUUCACAAAACGCUUUCAGCUAUUUUAAGACAAUAGCAGUUCCAACCGAAAACCAGAAAGUCUCAAUGAAUCCAAGAAAAUACAACAACAACAAAGCCUUUUCCCACUAAGUGGGGUCGGCUAUGUGAAUCCUAGAACGCCAUUGCGCUCGGUUUUGUGUCAUGUCCUCCGUUAGAUCCAAGUACUCUAAGUCUUUUCUUAGGGUCUCUUCCAAAGUUUUCCUAGGUCUUCCUCUAACCAAGAAAAUAAAUUGAAAUUAUUAAGCUAAGAACAAUUAUGAACCUCAUAAACCAAAGCCACUCAAAUGCAAAACAUGCAACAACCUAACAAGUAUAUGAUUAUUUUUAGGGGAUCAACAAUCAGAAAGAACACGAUGAUAAUUCUGCUCUACAAAAAAAUAAAAGCAAAACAACCAAAAAGGAGAGGCCUUUUUUUUUAUGCAAUUGCAGUUGAGAGAAAAUGUGCUUCUUACGAGAAGUUUAAGUGUUUUUCAUGAUUCACUUGCAUUUUUAUUAUAGAUUAGUCCCAAAAACAUUUUUUCACAAAAAAAAAAAAAACGCUCUCAGCUAUUUUAAAAGCAGUUCCAAACGAUCCCUAAGAGAAGCAGAAAGUCUGGAUGUAUCCAAGAAAAGUUAAGGUAAGAACAAAUAUGAACCUCAUAACCCAAAGCCACCCAAAAGCAAAACAUGUAACAACCUAGCAAGUAUAUGAUUAUUUUUUAGAGGAUCAGAUCAACAAUCAGAAAGAACAAGAUGAUAAUUCUGCUAUACAAAAAAGAUGCAAAACAACCAAACAAAGAGAGGCCUUUUGUUAUGCAAUUGCAGUUGAGAGCAAAAGCACAGAUUUUUUCACUGAACAAAACUAAGCACAAAAAUACCCAAUCCAUCCAAAAUUAUAAAAAAUUCAGAACGAAAAAAAACUGGACAAAUACCCCAAUGAAUCUCCCAAUGAUGCAGGAAGAGUAAAGGACACAGAUUUAUCAGAGGGAGAAACCCAAAGAGGAAAUUACACAGGCAAAAAUACCAUCUGCAUAAAAACUUGAUCAAACACAACUAAUCAAUCACACACCAACAAAAACUACAGAGAAAAAACAGAAACUGCAGAGACAAUUAGGGUGCGUUUGGUACGCAGACGGGACGGGACGGAAUAGGACGGAACGGGACGGGACGGAACGGAACGAAGGUGUAAUUUUUUGAAAAAUACAUGGGGUAUAUUUGUCUUAAAAUGGUAAAACAAUGUGUUCCACAGACGUGGAACAAACCCGUUCCAGGGGGAAGUGGGACGCAAAANUUCGAUGGACUCAAGUACAUAACGGUUAUAUGCAUGUUAACUGGAAGAUGUGAUGAUAUUGAUUUUUUCAAUCGAAAUCAGUGUUCUUGAUUUUUACAUUAUAUAAUCUACUGCAAACACAUAAAGACACAGAAUGGAUAUUUUGAACUAAAUUCACGAACUCAUGAUGCAUUACACAUUCUUACCUUGGUCCUUUUUGGGGAAAAACAACACAAUCAACCAUAUGGUACAACUCUGGCACAUCCACAGCCUUUAAAACACGUACAUCGCCAGGGUGCAAACAAGGGUUCUUAGCAACAGCUACCUUCCCCACAAUAAUGAAUCGCUGGUUUGAUGCACUUACAGUAUGCCUGUUACCAGAGAAUUGCACAAACACCUCACCAUAUUCCAAUGUUCUGGUUUCAUCUAGACAUCCCAUCAUUGCUCGUCCAUCUGGAAUAAAGAUUCUUGUUUUCGUCCGCAACUCUAGCAACUUUGAUGCCCGAAAUGUUUGCAGCAUCAUUGAAAUGAAGGGUUCAACAUCAGGUUUAUAACCACAUAUAAGCAAUUCCUUCAAGCAGUUGGUAGUCUCCCCUGCAGACAUCAAAUCCAGAGCCUCUUGUGCUUUUAGUGGGUCAGUCAAUAUAGCAUUCAAUUGUUGUACAGCUGCCUUUUGUUUUUUCAUGAAAGCAGGAU
rnacentral:lncRNA from 1 species